UCUGCUAGGGGCGCAUUUGCUGAGAGGUGUUUCACCGACCCUUAUCACUUGAACUGGAUAAUACCAGCGUAAGGAAGCUAUUAUUUU
rnacentral:ncRNA from 1 species